UGUUUAAAGAAUAUCAUGAAAAAACCGAAAAACGUAACCCUAUGUCAAUUGGGUCUGAAGGGGACAAAAUGUCGGACAUUGUUAUUCAACUCGAAUAAAAAGAAAUUAUUUUCAAAAUACCUCAUUAUUGCAUGAGGUGAAAGGGUGAGCUUUGUACAAAAUACUAGUAUAAGAAUUAUUUACUUACGACAUGGUGAUUGCUCUGUUUUCCCUUUAUUUGGGGACAAUUUAGAAAAAUGACGGCAAUUGUUUGUGCAUGGGACACAUUAUUUGUGUCAUAUUUAUCC
rnacentral:lncRNA from 1 species